GCUGACCACACCCAUGUUUCAGAAAAACCAAGUGAAGAACAAAGAAACAAAACAGUUCAGCUCCGACAUAUUUCGGAAUCCAGAGAAACACACAGCAUACAGCUCUUUCACACAAUAAUGCCACUUCAUCCUACGGUUGACAAUGACUUGGCUUAUUUGGUACCUUUCUUCAUUGCUGUCUGCAUCUAUACAAUCAUCCAUUUGAUAUCAUCUGCACCUGUUUGGCUGCUCGGAUUGACGAAAAUCUUGCCAAUCAUCAGUCUAUGCAUAUUCGUUGUAUGCAAAAUAUUUCAAUACAAUCAUCGCAAUCAUCGAAAACUACUUAUAGGCCUCACAUGUUCAGCGAUGGGUGAUGCAUUUCUCCUUAAAGAUGACAAGCAGUUUUUCAUUGGAGGUGGGGCCAUGUUUGCUCUUGCCCACUGUUUGUAUACAUGGGCCUUUGGGUUCAAGCCUCUGAAUCUCCAAGCAGCAAGUUUAAUUGCCUUGGUCGUCGGGUUGGGUUGGAUCUUUCUCAGCAUGUGUUCAAAGGUAGUAUGGCAGAUGUUUCUGCUCUGCUGUUACUGCGCCUUGAUUGGGAUCAUGUCCUGGAGAGCCAAUGCUGAAGUGCUAUUUCAUCAUCCAAGAACAAGAACAAAGGUGACUGGUGCAGUUGGAGCUGUACUUUUCAUGGUAUCUGAUUUCACUUUGGCGAUAAACCUGUUAUGUUUUCAAGUUCCACAUAGCCAGCUAAUUGUCAUGAGUACAUACUAUGCGGCACAACUGUUUAUUGCUCUCAGUAUUGUUAGAGAUAAUCAAAAAAAAAGUGACUAGAUUGUCCUUAACUGUACAAUGGAGAUUGUUUGAUGUUACAAUCUCCAGUGCUUUUUUUGUUUUUCAUGAAUAAACAAUUGGUACAGAUACAAAAACGGAAGGUUUUGGAAAAGCUCAGCUGGUCUGCUGCAUCUGUGAAGAGAAAUCAAAGUUAAUGUUUCAGGUCCGAUGACCCUUCCUCAGAAGGGUCUGAGGAAGGACCCAAAAUGUUAACUUUGAUUUCUCUCAACUAAUGCUGCUAGACCUGCUAAGCUUUUCCAGCAACUUCUGUUUUUGUUUCUGAUUUAUAGUAUUUGCAAUUCUUUUGUUUUUUUGAAUAGAUAUGGAUAUCAUUCCAACAUUAUAACUUGUGUUCAGUUCUAACCUCAUUACAUACAUAUCUCUUUUUGCUUGUAUUUGCUGAAGUUAUUUUAUUUACUAAGUUUGCAAAAUGGGUGGUGUAGUGGACAGUGAAAGCUAUCUGAGAAUAUAAUGGGACCUUGAUCAGAUGAGCCAAUGGGCCAAGAAGCGGAGGAUGGGAGUUUAAUGCUUGAUUAGAUUCCCUACAGUAUGGAAUUGAUAAAUGUGAGGGCUCUAAGGAUUGUUGCCAAACAAAGAGACUUCGGGGAGCAGAAGCAUAGUUUCUUUAAAGUGGAGUCACAGGUACACAGAAGGGUGAAAAAGGUGUUUGGCACACUUACUUUCAUUAGUCAGUGCAUUGAGUAUCACAGUUGGGACAUCACACUACCGGCUGUACUGGGCAUUGGUGAGGUCAGUUUUCAAAAACUGCAUUCAGAUCUCAUCUCCCUGCUUUAAGAAAGAUGAUGUGAAACUUGAAAAGGAUGUUGACAGGAUUGGAGGGUUUGAACUAGAGGGAGAGGUUAUGGCUUUUUUCCCUGAAACAUCAGAGGCCGACAGGUAACCUUUUGGAGAUUUAUAAAAUUAUGAAGGGCAAGGAUAGGGUGAAUAGCCAAGGUCUUUUUCCCAGGGUAGAGAGUCCGCAACAAGAGGGCAUUGGUUUAAGGUGAGAGGGGAACAAUUUGAAAAGCACCUGAGGGACAACUUUCUCUCGCAGAGAGAGGUGCGUGUUUGGAAUGAGCUGCCAGAGGAAGUGGUGUAGGUGCGUACAAUUACAACAUAUAAAAGAUAUCUGGAUCGUAUGUGCAGGUUUUAGAGGCAUAUAGGCCAAAUAUUGGCAAAGGGGACUUAAACAAUUUAGACAAUCUGGUCAGCUGAACUUGUUGGACCAAAUUUUGUGCUGUACUUCCCAAUGAUUUUAUGACCUCUUACAGUGAUCAACCCUCAAUGUGGAAAGUGAAAUAUACAGGAGCUUAUGCUGUCAACAUUUACACUAGAGAUCUGUGUUAAGACAUCAAUGUUCCUCACUGGUAAAUUUGUCAGAAGUGAGAUUUAAGUAGCUUUCAAUUGUUCACUGGUCACCAAGACUGAGAGUGUUUAACUUCAACUCCAAACUGAAAGCUGUUUCUUCUGUGCUUUUAGUUUAGGAUAGUGAUCUGGGGAUUGCUUGCAAUGCAUACCUGUUUACUGCCCAGCUACUCUCAAUGGAACUGUGUAGCACUUGUGUCCAACACCUGGUUAAUGGAAAUCUGGUAAUCUCUUGGUAAAUAGGCCUUUAAAGCUGAGAAAAGUCAGAUCCAACUCUCCUGAUAUAUUUUGUAUUCUACAAUUUGAAUGGUUCAGAUUUGAAUAUUUGGAAAGGGCUAUUUUUCACAUUAUUCCUCAAAUUCAUUACAUCAAGAUCUGUGAGCACCAGCAACUUGAGACAAAGGUAAAUGAAUGAGGAAAAAUAAAUUAACUUUUUCCUGAGACCUGGCUCCAACCUCACAGUCAAGACAAUAAAACCUGAAUAUUCCGGUGCUAAGGCAUUCUAGUAGGUUCUCCUCUUGCCUAUUUCAACCAAAUGCAGUGCUUAGAUGUGCAAAUCAUUUGUCUUUAGACUUUUUCACAAUAAUGUCAACUUUUUUGUGUUAAUUGUUCAAAAUAAUUGUUUUGUUACCUUUUAUCCACGGAAUCUUUAGAUCGGCCAGAUAUUCUGGCUUUAAAUUGUUUCAGUUCCAAGUUUGUGACUCUAGUUCUUUGGCUGUAAAUAGUUCUGAUCAUCACUGUAUUGUAGUCAAUUAUAAUGGACUUGGACAUAUUCACCAGUUUGUUGAUUGUCCUGAAUUUGUGUCCUUCUUCUGACCAUCUCGUUAGCUUAUCUAGUCUCUGAUAUCUUCUGGCAUUUCCAUUGGUUCAAGAUAAUCAUAAGAUCAUGCUUCCGCUAUCUUUCCAGCAAUUUGAUUGGACUAAGGUAAUUGUGCAAAGGUCGGGAUUCACUGGAUUUUUUUUCAGUAAUAUCAGUUGUUCAUGAGCCUCCUCUUUUCACACCUCUGUCCCUGACUCAACCGCAAAAGAUGUCUGUCCCUUUUGUCCAAGUUUCAAGGGAGCUGUAAUUCAGUUAAACCCCAGCCUGUCUGCAGUCCCUUCACUUGAACUUGAUCCACUUCUCCAAGCACCAGCUAUUUGUGAAUCUUAGAUUUUCUCUCUCUUUAUAAAAAGCAAGCAGAGGAGUGGAAUAAAGCAAGGAUUGGACAUAGCUGAGGUGACAGCCAAGAUGCAGCAGCCAAGACUGGCUUUGACGAGGCUAAUCGGAAGUCUUGGGUUGACCACAACACCUCAUUACUUUUUAGAAAUCUUUAAUGGCACAGUGAAACAGUUCAUAAAGCCUUAGAAGCUUCAGUGAAUUCAAGAUUUGAUUUACCAAAAUAAAAUCAUGCAGAACACCUGCUAUUUUAAAUGUGACUGAAGAGGGCAAGACCACAGAAAAGAAACAUUGGGAACACUAUUCUCAAAUAGAGUGCUUUUAUGUGACUGACUUUUACUCCCACUUCCCAUGUGGGCAGCAUGGUGCCUCAGCGAUUAACACUGCUACCUAACAAUACCACUUACUCAGGUUCGAUUCCAACAUCAAGCAACUGUCUGUCUGGACUGUGCACGUUCUCCCUGUGUCUCUGUGGGCUUCCUCUGGCUGCUCUGGUUUUCUUACACUGUGCAAAGAGGUGCAGGCAAAAUGAAUGAGCCAUGCUAAAUUGUCCCAGUGUAUGCAGGGAUAUGUAGACUCAGUGGAUUACCCAUGGGAAUUACAGGUGUAGGGUAGGGAGGUGGAAUACUCUUCGGAAGGGUGGUGAAGACUAGAUGGGCCAAAUUGCCUGCUUCCACAUUGUAGAGAUUCUCUGUUACUUUUGUGAAACUUGCCCCUCUCAUUCAAUACUGACACAGAUUUAUUCAUGCAACUGGAGUGCUUUAUCUAUCUUUUAUCUGUUUCUGUUUCUAUCUUUCUACUUCACAGAAGCUGAGAAUCCCAGAAGUGUUACACCACAAAAAGAGGUCAUUUGGCCCAUUGUGUCUGCACCAGCUCUUCAAAUGAAUAUCAUUAUCUCGUGCCAAUUUCCUACAUUUUCCUUGUACAUUUGCAUGUUAUUUCUAUUGCAAUCGUCGUCCAAUAUCAUCUUGACUGCCCUCCACCACAUUUCCAGGCAAUGCAUCCCAUCUGAUAACUAACUGCUGAGUGAACAAGUUUUUUGUCAUAUCACAUUUGACCCUGUUGCAAAACAUGUGAAAUUGUUCCCCUUUAGUUGUUCAUCCUUUUUAGGAGUGGAACAGUUUGGCUCAAUGCAGCUAUCAAGACCACUCAUGUUUUUGAAAACCUUUAUCAGAUCGCCUCACAGCCUUCUUCUCUCUAAGGAAAGCAGUUCCAAAUCUCGAGUCUGCCAUCAUAACUGAAAUUUCUCAUGCAUGGAACCAUUACUGUGUAUCUCUUCUGCACUCUUCCAAUGUGUUCAUUUCUCUAAUGUGGCACCCAGAACAGCACACAAUAUACCAAUCAAAGCCAAACAGAUGUCUUAUACCUGAUUCAACUUUAAUGGCUAUUCAUGAAUAACAACACAAUGUGUCCAAUAUCCCAUAAAAUUUCAAUUUAACUCCUGAUAUUCUGGCUUUCAUGCUGAUGGACAAAAUCAAUGGGAGAACACAAGGAUUUUUGCAACAUAUAAAAUGAAAGGAAAAAUCUCUUAUGAAUUCUGGCUGUGACACUGAAAAUAGGCAGAUUAAUUGUGCCUUUCAGCGCUCCCAAGUAACAACAUUACUUUAUCAAGCUGAUUUUGCAAAAUACACACAAGAGACCUGCAGACACGAUGAGUUUUGUGUUGGAAACUCAUUGGAAUAUCAAACUUUAUAUCUGAAUAUCCAGCUGAAGGUGCGCAUGGGUGUAAUAAACAUACAAAUAAUAAAUGCUUUAGAUUGAACUAUCGGGUUUCACAUUCAUGGGAAAAAGCACAUGAAGCGAGAAACAGGAUGUGGUGGUGGCUGCAAGAGUAGACACUGUGUCAGAAUCCAGUUCAGGAAAACUAAAGACAGUCUGAAGGAAAUAUGGAGAGUGGUGUACUAAAAUCCACCAUGUUGCUGACAAAAUAAUCAAGUGCAGGGAGAGGGAAUAUUGGGAGAUACAACUCCUGCUGUGGGCAAUCUAGAACAAGAUGUUAUGGUUUAAGGAUAAGUGGUAGCAGUUUUAAAAUAGAGAUUAUAAAUUCUCUCAAAGGAUGGCAAUUCUGUAGAAUUCACUAUCCCAGCAUGAGAUGGCUGCUUGGAAAUGGAGUAAAGAGGUGAUACACAGAUUUUUAAGUAAUCAUGGGUUGAAGAGUUAUGGAUAGCUGGAGUUGAGGUCAAGAUAAGACCAGCCUUGAUCAUAUUAAAUGACAGAGGAGGCUUGAAUUUGGCCUACACCUGCUCCUAGGUCUUAAAUUCUUGGGGUUAGGAGAACAACUGUAUAUGAACGGGGUGGAGAAGGGAGAAACAAAAGACUAUUCUGCGAAGGAAGAAAAGAACAGCAUCAGGGACCAGGGAAAAAAUGAAUCCUGAAGGCUGGAACUUUGUAUCAUUCCAAUGCAAUCCAUGGAAGAGGUGCUGAUGCUAAUGUAAGCCACCGUUUAGAGAAGUGUGAGAAUAGUUUGAGCAAUACACUUCUUUUCAAUGAACUUUUUCAAUGAAAGUGGUCACCAUGUAUUAUCUGUUUCACAACGAUUGAGUUUAUAGUCAAUAAAGAACG